CCGCGAGGGGCCCACGUGGACGGGGCAAGCAGCGCAUCCACCGGCUGAGCAUGAGAUGAACGAAAGAAAAAAGCACAAGAAACACAAUUCCCAAGGUCGGCAGCGCGGAAACGGCAAGUGGUGAGGACUCUGAAAAAGAAGAAGUAAAGCGUUCCUGCCGUGGCGGGAGUUAACAGAGUUCCUGCGGACACGCGAGUACUCAGGAAACCGGUCGGGUCAAGCGGGGGCGAGAACCGCGAACCCGCGCCGGUUCCCGCCAAAUCAGGUGCGCGCGGCGGGAGGAGGGGCACCUGUGGCGCGCGCCGCCGCUAAAUCACCGACCGGUACUACAAUUAGAUAACUCGAUUCCUUGACAAUGACCGCUAAAUCCUUCCUUCCUUGGCCCCCCUCCCCUGGUGUUGGUGUUCCGUCUUACCCCCUCCCAGAGUGGCGUCUCGGUAUAAAGAGCCAUUGCAUCACCGCUUUACACAUUAUUUUCCACUUUUCACUUUUAAUAAUGCAGUCAGCCUGCUGAUAAGCGACUCGCGACACCGACCCGCCGUUUUUUUCACUCAGUUUCGUUCGGACUCGCGAUCAUCGCGCUUUGCAGGUUAUGUUCACGCGUCUUGUGUUCGCUUGAAGUCUCGUGCUCGUACCCAGUGCUGUGAGCUCUGUGCGUGUGUGUCUGUGUCAAUCGUCUUUGGUGCAAGUGUAAAUUUUUGUAUAUAAGCUACUACGCUUAAACAACACAGCAACAUGAAUCCCGCAAGAGUUUUGUUUGUCACCCUUAGCUGCUUCCUAUACGUCUGUCUAGUCACAGCCCAAGGGUUCUUCGACACAUUCGGAGGACCAUCAUUCAGAGGAGAAGAAUUGAGCAGGACUCAGUCCAGGGAUCCACGAGAAAACCGAGGUACGUUUCUUAUCAGCUAAUUUCUUAUCACCGCGUUAUUUGAGACGAAGAGGAAAAAUAAGAGAAAGCGGAGUGGAAAAAUAAGAAAAAAGUCCCUUUGGAAAUGUAGGACAUA
rnacentral:lncRNA from 1 species